UUGGUUCAGCUCACUGAGAAAAGAAGGCCACAGGUUUUGACACACAUUUUAAUCCACCUCUUAUAGAAAGAGUUUUACACAUCAAAGUCUGCUCACAUGUUUUGGAGACUAUGAGUGCAGAUGUGAAAUGAAGUGUGUAAAGCCUUAUGGCUUCAGAACGACUUCGUUCUUCGGUCCGAACCCGUCCGAAUCCAAAUGAACCAAUUUUUUCCAAAGGCCCGUCAGGCUCGGCCAAAGAUCUUCAGCUGUGUGCAACUGCAUGAGGGUUGCAUCUUAGUUUGGAAACGCGUGGAGAAACCAUAUGAGCAGAUCUUUUGCGCCACCUUGUGGCAGCGACACAAAGCACCACCAUGCAGGUGCCCGAACCAGUUUCACUUUCUGUUGUGCUGAAUUGAAACGAUAAACUAAAGUUAGAAACUCCAGAUUAAACUUCUGCUGUUGUUAUCCAAAGAUUUCCAUCCAUGGAUAAGAAGGAAGCAACGCGCACAUGCGGACAGUGAGUGACACAAGGAAUGUGCAAUUUGGAUGACUGAAAGGCCCUCUCUGGAGUCAGUGUUUGGUUUGUCUGUUCUGGGCUUCUGAAGAGACAUGAAACAGUUUCCCACAGUCUGUCCAAGACCUGACGAGGAGAGAAAGAUCCCUGUAAGGCUCCUGACCUGGUCUCUGUCGGCAGCAGCUCUCAGCUCUUUGCCCUCCCUCAGCAGUUGCUGGCGGCCUGUCUGGACCUCCACACGCAAGGCCCAGCAAUCCGACUGCAGCAACAAAGCCUGGGAGGCCAGAGUCAGACAACAAGUCAGCUGCUGUUUACACAUGAUCAUCAUCCACCACCUGUCUUACAAUGUACCUGUUUCCUCUCCACCUCCAUCACUCUCUCCAUCUCCUCGGCCCGCUGGAGGAGUUCGCUGUAAGAUUUCAUGGCUUCAACAGAGAGGGCAGACUCCUGCCUCAUCUGUUCUUUCAUCUGAUCCCAAGAAAGCUUUGUUGAGAUGGUUCAAUUUCAGUUGGUCCUGGCUUAUUAAAUGCAUGUCUGCAUGCCUGUGGGCAAAUGGGGAUAAAAUGGCUAAUAAAAAAGUCUAAAUGAAAAUAAUUAUUCACUCACCUCCAGCAGUUUGCGGCACAUCUCUGAUUUGAAAACCUUU